rnacentral:tRNA from 1 species
UGGGGAAUAGCCAAGCUGGUAAGGCAUCGGAUUUUGAUUCCGUGAUCCCUGGUUCAAGUCCAGGUUCCCCAG